rnacentral:rRNA from 1 species
UUCCCCAACGACGAGACUGAGACACGGCUCGUACACCUACGGGUGGCAGCAGUCGAGAAUAUUGGUCAAUGGGCGAAAGCCUGAACCAGCGACGCCGCGUGCAGGAAGAAGGCCUUCGGGUUGUAAACUGCUUUUUUAGAGGAUAAAGUGACGCUGAAUUUUGUUUAUCACGUUAAAUUUAUUUAAGUUUUCUGUUUGAUUGAUGAAAAGAAAGGCGUGGUAAAUAAUAUUCAGCGUCAUUGAUAGUACUCUAAGAAUAAGGGGUUGCUAACUCUGUGCCAGCAGCAGCGGUAAUACAGAGACCCCGAGCGUUAUCCGGAUUUAUUGGGCGUAAAGCGCGGGUAGGGGGCCUUACACGUUUAUUGUAAAAUCUUUUUGCUUAACGAAGAGAUCGCAAUAAAUACGGUUAGGCUAGAGGACGCCAGAGGUUAUUUGGAACGCACGGUGUAGGGGUGAAAUCCGUUGAUAUCGUGCGGAACACCAAAGGCGAAGGCAAAUAACUGGGGCGUUUCUGACCCUGAGUCGCGAAAGCGUGGGUAGCAAAAAGGAUUAGAUACCCUUGUAGUCCACGCCCUAAACAAUGUCCACUUGCUAUCUGGAGUAUCGACCCUCUGGGUGGCGAAGCUAACGCAUUAAGUGGAUCGCCUGGGAAGUACGGCCGCAAGGCUAAAACUCAAAGGAAUAGACGGAGACUCGCACAAGCGGUGGAACAUGAGGUUCAAUUCGACAGUAAACGAAAAACCUUACCAGGGCUUGAAAUUCUGACGUUCUAUUUCGACGAAAGUCGAGAAAUCCGCAAGGAGGUCAGGACAGGUGCUGCAUGGUUGUCGUCAGCUCGUGCUUUGAAGUGUUCCCUUAAGUGGGGAAACGAGCGCAACCCUCGUCCCGAGUUUCAUGUAUCUCGGGAGACUGCCCGGUUUAACUGGGAGGAAGGGGGGGAUGACGUCAAAUCCGCACGGCCCUCUGAUGCCCUGGGCGACACUCAUGUUACAAUGGCCGGCACAAUGGGUUUGCCAAGCCGUAAGGCGGAGCUAAUCCCAUCAAAACCGGUCUCAGUUCGGAUUGAGGGCUGCAACCCGCCCUCAUGAAGCCGGAAUCGCUAGUAAUC